rnacentral:rRNA from 1 species
UAACGCGUGGGCAACCUGCCUUACACAGGGGGAUAACAGUUAGAAAUGACUGCUAAUACCGCAUAAGACCACAUUGCCGCAUGGCAGGGUGGUAAAAACUCCGGUGGUGUAAGAUGGGCCCGCGUCUGAUUAGGUAGUUGGCAGGGUAGAGGCCUACCAAGCCUACGAUCAGUAGCCGGCCUGAGAGGGUGGACGGCCACAUUGGGACUGAGACACGGCCCAAACUCCUACGGGAGGCAGCAGUGGGGAAUAUUGCACAAUGGGGGAAACCCUGAUGCAGCGGCGCCGCGUGAGUGAGGAAGUAUUUCGGUAUGUAAAGCUCUAUCAGCAGGGAAGAAAAUGACGGUACCUGACUAAGAAGCCCCGGCUAACUACGUGCCAGCAGCCGCGGUAAUACGUAGGGGGCAAGCGUUAUCCGGAUUUACUGGGUGUAAAGGGAGCGUAGACGGAGGAGCAAGUCUGAUGUGAAAAUCCGGGGCCCAACCCCGGAACUGCAUUGGGAACUGUUUAUCUAGAGUGUCGGAGAGGCAAGUGGAAUUCCUAGUGUAGCGGUGAAAUGCGUAGAUAUUAGGAGGAACACCAGUGGCGAAGGCGGCUUGCUGGACGAUGACUGACGUUGAGGCUCGAAAGCGUGGGGAGCAAACAGGAUUAGAUACCCUGGUAGUCCACGCCGUAAACGAUGACUACUAGGUGU